rnacentral:rRNA from 1 species
AUUGAACGCUGGCGGCAUGCCUUACACAUGCGAGUCGAACGGCAGCACGGGUGCUUGCACCUGGUGGCGAGUGGCGAACGGGUGAGUAAUACAUCGGAACAUGUCCUGUAGUGGGGGAUAGCCCGGCGAAAGCCGGAUUAAUACCGCAUACGAUCUACGGAUGACAGCGGGGGACCUUCGGGCCUCGCGCUAUAGGGUUGGCCGAUGGCUGUUUAGCUAGUUGGUGGGGUCACGGCCUACCAAGGCGACGAUAAGUAGCUGGACUGAGAGGACGACCAGCCAAACGGGGACUGAGACACGGCCCAGAGUCCUACGGGAGGCAGCAGUGGGGAAUUUUGGACAAUGGGCGAAAGCCUGAUCCAGCAAUGCCGCGUGUGUGAAGAAGGCCUUCGGGUUGUAAAGCACUUUUGUCCGGAAAGAAAUCCUUGGCUCUAAUACAGGCGGGGGAUGACGGUACCGGAAGAAUAAGCACCGGCUAACUACGUG